GGCUUUCUAUUCUUCCCUGAUUGUCUUAGAAUCCAGCCCCUGACUCUUCCCAGCACUCCCCACCCCAUGCCCAGUACCCCCACUCCACCUCUGCCUCCUGGAUAAAAGGCUGGCACUCCUGGGAAGAGGGGGAUUUAUCUGAGUUAAUGAUCUCUUCCUUGGAAUCUUUCUGCGGCAUCAGACAGAGGGCCACAGUCUCCCAUGGGCAGAGUGAACCAAUGCUGAUGAACCAAGGCCAGCCAUCAAAGAUCUAGAUGUUAGAGGAGAAAUUCUAACUUCCCAAUCUGUGCCUCAUCUUGGAUGGACCCUGAAGGAAAAGUGUUAGGUGAGAUGAGUCAGGAAGAGAGGAGAGAAUGCUGGAUCACCCCACGUAUCAGUGAAACUCAGGACACAGCGUCAAAAAGGAAGAACACAGGGAGCACUCAGGUAUGACUAUCCUGUGAGCAAACCGCUCUAGGCUGUCUCACAACUUCCCCACCUCACCUUACUCCCGGGCUGGGACUGUGGGCCUCACCUCCUCCUGCCCUUCCUGCAUGGCUGAUGCUGGAAGAAAGAAGAUUCCAGAACUAGAAACUCCCAGCUGCUCAGCCAGCUCAGAGAAGAAGGCCUUGGUUCAGAGUAAGAGUUAUCCUUUGACCAAACACUUCCCUCUGCAGAAAA